rnacentral:tRNA from 1 species
GUGGCUCAAAGGAGUAGGGCGCUGGCCCCAUAUGCCAGAGGUGGCGGGUUCAAACCCUGCC